ACUUAAAUUGAAGAGUUUGAUCAUGGCUCAGAUUGAACGCUGGCGGCAGGCCUAACACAUGCAAGUCGAGCGGUAACACAGGGAGCUUGCUCCUGGGUGACGAGCGGCGGACGGGUGAGUAAUGUCUGGGAAACUGCCUGAUGGAGGGGGAUAACUACUGGAAACGGUAGCUAAUACCGCAUAACGUCGCAAGACCAAAGAGGGGGACCUUCGGGCCUCUUGCCAUCAGAUGUGCCCAGAUGGGAUUAGCUAGUAGGUGGGGUAACGGCUCACCUAGGCGACGAUCCCUAGCUGGUCUGAGAGGAUGACCAGCCACACUGGAACUGAGACACGGUCCAGACUCCUACGGGAGGCAGCAGUGGGGAAUAUUGCACAAUGGGCGCAAGCCUGAUGCAGCCAUGCCGCGUGUAUGAAGAAGGCCUUCGGGUUGUAAAGUACUUUCAGCGGGGAGGAAGG
rnacentral:rRNA from 1 species